AUUGAACGCUGGCGGCAUGCCUUACACAUGCCAGUCGAACGGUAACGGGCCUUCGGGUGCCGACGAGUGGCGAGCGGGUGAGUAAUACAUCGGAACGUGCCCGAUCGUGGGGGAUAACGAGGCGAAAGCUUUGCUAAUACCGCAUACGAUCUACGGAUGAAAGCAGGGGACCGCAAGGCCUUGCGCGGACGGAGCGGCCGAUGGCAGAUUAGGUAGUUGGUGGGAUAAAAGCUUACCAAGCCGACGAUCUGUAGCUGGUCUGAGAGGAUGAUCAGCCACACUGGGACUGAGACACGGCCCAGACUCCUACGGGAGGCAGCAGUGGGGAAUUUUGGACAAUGGGCGCAAGCCUGAUCCAGCCAUGCCGCGUGCAGGAUGAAGGCCUUCGGGUUGUAAACUGCUUUUGUACGGAACGAAAAGCCUUCUUUUAAUACAGGAGGGUCAUGACGGUACCGUAAGAAUAAGCACCGGCUAACUACGUG
rnacentral:rRNA from 1 species